rnacentral:rRNA from 1 species
GAUGAACGCUGACAGAAUGCUUAACACAUGCAAGUCAACUUGAAUUUGGGUUUUUUCACUUAGAUUUGGGUGGCGGACGGGUGAGUAACGCGUAAAGAACUUGCCUCACAGCUAGGGACAACAUUUGGAAACGAAUGCUAAUACCUGAUAUUAUGAUUAUAAGGCAUCUUAGAAUUAUGAAAGCUUUAUGCGCUGUGAGAGAGCUUUGCGUCCCAUUAGCUAGUUGGAGAGGUAACGGCUCACCAAGGCGAUGAUGGGUAGCCGGCCUGAGAGGGUGAACGGCCACAAGGGGACGGAGAAACGCCCCUAACCCUUACGGGAGGAAGAAGGGGGAAUAUUGGACAAUGGACCAAGAGUCUGAUCCAGCAAUUCUGUGUGCACGAUGACGUUUUUCGGAAUGUAAAGUGCUUUCAGUUGGGAAGAAAAAAUGACGGUACCAACAGAAGAAGUGACGGCUAAAUACGUG